CCUACGGGGGGCAGCAGUAAGGAAUAUUGGUCAAUGGGCGCAAGCCUGAACCAGCCAUGCCGCGUGAAGGAUGACGGCCCUAUGGGUUGUAAACUUCUUUUGUACGGGAAAAAACCACCGGUCGUGAAUCGGUGCUGAUGGUACCGUAAGAAUAAGCAUCGGCUAACUCCGUGCCAGCAGCCGCGGUAAUACGGAGGAUGCAAGCGUUAUCCGGAUACAUGGGGUGUAGGGGGUACACUGGCGGAGCGGUGAAAGCCUACAGCUUAACGGUAGAACUGCCAUUGAUACUGUUAUUCUUGAGUGUUGUUGAGGUAGGCGGAAUGUGUCAUGUAGCGGUGAAAUGCUUAGAUAUGACACAGAACACCGAUCGCGAAGGCAGCUUACCAAGCAACAACUGACGCUCAUGCACGAAAGCGUGGGGAUCAAACAGGAUUAGAUACCCGGGUAGUC
rnacentral:rRNA from 1 species